UACGUAGGGGGCAAGCGUUGUCCGGAAUCAUUGGGCGUAAAGAGCGUGUAGGCGGCUCGAUAAGUCUGCUGGGAAAGUCCAGGGCUCAACCCUGGAAGGCCGGUGGAAACUGUCGGGCUAGAGUCCGGAAGAGGCGAGUGGAAUUCCCGGUGUAGCGGUGAAAUGCGCAGAUAUCAGGAAGAACACCAAUGGCGAAAGCAGCUUUCUGGGACGUGACUGACGCUGAGACGCGAAAGCGUGGGGAGCAAACAGG
rnacentral:rRNA from 1 species